GGAAGGCUUCCCGAGAAAGAAAGCAGCUCUGCCUGCCCAGGAGGAAGUACAAGUGUGCUUCCUCCGGACAAAUGGGAAAACAAGCACCCCAGAAGCUGAGAAGAGGGUUUAAGCAAAAAGGAUAGUUUGUUUUAAAAGCAAGUAAGUGUGAACAUGAACUAACAGAGCAUGAAAAUGGUAAAUUCCUUGUGGAUGACCUGUUGCAUCUAGCACCUGUGCAAACAGCUGGACCCGGGAGCCAUCUGCCCAGUUUCUCCAGCUGAAACUCUUGAUGCUGAAUCUCCAGGGAACUCACCCGUUGGCACGGUGCAUGGUAAACAGGGCUCGAGGCCUGGAGGAUAUCACACAUGAAAAGAAAACAGCAACAGACUUCCCAGACAGAGCUAUAGGCUCAGUAUUGUCCUUGGCUUGCUGGUGUGCUUGUUUCAAGCAUCGUUUGAGGCAGCUAGACUCUGGAAACAACCUGAAUGUCCAGCGGGAAGCAGAAGUGAAACUCAUUAAAAAGAGAGGUGGUUGAAUCAGUGGUGGCAUAUUCAUUCUCUGGAAUAUUAAGUAGCAACCAAAGAAAAAGGCUCAGAUCUCUGCCUACGGCCUCUGUGGAUCCACUCACAUUGUUUUGUUUU